rnacentral:rRNA from 1 species
ACGUAGGGUGCGAGCGUUGUCCGGAAUUAUUGGGCGUAAAGAGCUCGUAGGCGGUCUGUCGCGUCGAAUGUGAAAACUCGGGGCUCAACCCCGAGCUUGCAGUCGAUACGGGCAGGCUAGAGUUCGGCAGGGGAGACUGGAAUUCCUGGUGUAGCGGUGAAGUGCGCAGAUAUCAGGAGGAACACCGGUGGCGAAGGCGGGUCUCUGGGCCGAUACUGACGCUGAGGAGCGAAAGCGUGGGGAGCGAACAGGA